CUCCAAAAAUUUUAGCCCAAGUGCUCCCAACUAUCACUGAAGUAUGACUCCUGCGCUCCAUGUGUUGCAAUUGCAAUUCAGGAAAAAACCCUAAUUUCGAACCCCAAUUUCACCAUCUUCAUACCUCUCAUUCUUUCUCCUCUACCUCCACUUUUUUCUAAUCUCUCCGUUUCGAACUUCCUCAUUGUUCAUCAAUGUCGCUGGAUCUGGCAAUCAUUUUCUCGUUCUUUAUCGCAUUAGCCUCAAUAUCAAGGAUCUGAAUUCAUUGAGUUACAGAUAUGGUGGUGUAAUGGAGUAAUCGAUGUUGUCGAUGGCUCGAGAUUCUCUAAUUUCAGCUAGGAACUCAAAAUGUCUGAUCUGUACCAUAAGCUUUAUGGAAGGACCAUAUUGUGGUCUUGUGGAGGAAGCGCCUAAUACUUUGAGGAUUCGAGAGUCCAGAGUUGGAGACCCAAACCUCCUGGAUUGAAAGUGACCUUCAACCAAACCGAAGGCUCGGCAUCAAUAUUUCAAAUCACUAGGCGAAGAAGAAGAAUGCCAUGUAUCAUGUAUGAGUUAUGACUUACUACGAAUAAAUGAGAUUGGUUAUAAAUGUAUCUAUACCAUUUACAUAAAAAUAUUACCUCCGGUUUUUAUUAGUUUAUUCGUAUUCCUUUUUGGGAUGUCUUUUAUUAAUUUAUCCAUUUCUUUUGUUUCUAUUUUUGGAAUGGGACCACUAACUUUCUAUCCUACAUACGUUCAACUUUAAUAUAAAAUACUGUAAUAGUUUCUCUUUCUUUCUAUGUCUCACAACAUUGUUUCUCCUAAAAUUGUGCAAAAGAAAUGAGUAAACUAAUAAAGACCGGAGAGAGUAUUUACUACCUUUGAAUUUGAUAUUUCUUGUGUCUAAAAUAGUUGGGUUAAAUUUGAAAUCAUAAUGUUAGUUAGCAGUGAUCGGAUUUAGAAUA